rfam:Schistosoma rodhaini strain Burundi genome assembly, scaffold: SROB_scaffold0002764
UGCUGAGGAGUCCCACAAUAGGACGAAACGGCCGUCCAGUGC